rnacentral:rRNA from 1 species
GACGAACGCUGGCGGCGUGCCUAAUACAUGCAAGUAGAACGCACAGUUUAUACCGUAGCUUGCUACACCAUAGACUGUGAGUUGCGAACGGGUGAGUAACGCGUAGGUAACCUGCCUGGUAGCGGGGGAUAACUAUUGGAAACGAUAGCUAAUACCGCAUAAUAUUAAUUAUUGCAUGAUAAUUAAUUGAAAGGUGCAAUUGCACCACUACCAGAUGGACCUGUGUUGUAUUAGCUAGUAGGUGAGGUAACGGCUCACCUAGGCGACGAUACAUAGCCGACCUGAGAGGGUGAUCGGCCACACUGGGACUGAGACACGGCCCAGACUCCUACGGGAGGCAGCAGUAGGGAAUCUUCGGCAAUGGACGAAAGUCUGACCGAGCAACGCCGCGUGAGUGAAGAAGGUUUUCGGAUCGUAAAGCUCUGUUGUAAGAGAAGAACGGGUGUGAGAGUGGAAAGUUCACACUGUGACGGUAUCUUACCAGAAAGAGACGGCUAACUACGUG